GACUUUUAUCAAACUCUUUUCACCCUGAAGAACACUUUGUUUAGUAUCCUUUCUUGUUUUGUUCAAGUUUCUUCAUGAUUGUACCAAAAAGAAACCUUUAUAACACGAUGUAAAUGGCCUCUCUGUUUGGAGAUCUCUCCCGUGCAUGUGUGGGCUCUCUCCAGGUACUCUGGAUUCCUCCCACAGUCCAGACAUGCUCGUUAGGUCAAUUGGUGACUCUACAUUGCCAGUAGUUUCCAUCUGUCUUCAUGGAUAAAGACAGUGACUGAAGACUGCAGCACAUGUGAAGGUGGUAAAAAUAAAAGCAAACUGUCUGCUGCUCCAGAUCUCCUCUACUAUAAUACUUCAAAUGAAACCUGGUAUGUGAUCCUGUGGUCCC